ACCCCACGCAGCCCCUCCCCACCACCCCUCCACAGGGCAACACUACAGGCGACGGACACAGCCGCAGCAUGAUUGGACCACAGGGCAGCAGCCGCAGCGUGAUUGGACCACAGGGCAGCUGCUGCAUCAUGAUUGGACCACAGGGCAGCAGCCGCAGCACGAUUGGCCCACAGGGCAGACCGCUGCUUCCUAAGAGAACUGACUCGCUCUAAAUCCGCAUUGUCUCCUCACUUUUAUAUUUUUAAUAUGUAAUUGUCUGAUGGACUGUAUUCUGUUUGAUUAUGUACAACGUGGUGUUUUACAUAUAACAAGGUGUUAUAUUUAGCUUGUGUGGAAUUUACAACAUCGAAAGACUGUUGAUAUACCCCGUAAACCAAAGAUACUGAAAUGUGUUCAUUUUUACAACUGAAAUCUGAAAGGGAAAAAAAAAAACUGGUGCACUUCUGGGCCACCAGGGGGCAUUACAUCACCUUCAGACUGACACAUGGUUUAAAACCAUAUGAAUCAAUAAGCAGAGGAAGUAACAAAAAUAAUUUGUUGAGGCUUUGAGCUGCUUAAAAAAUACAAUAUGUUUUUAAAAAAAUAAAUAUCUCUGCAGUAUUCUAUGUAGAUAUAAAUAAAGCGAGCACAGCCAACUGUACCGCAGAGGGAUCUUCCAGUAUCCCAGCACGCAUUGUGCUGGCAGUUUGGGGUUUCUGCGGGUUGGCAGUGCGGUUCUGUCGGCUCUGUGCCUGGCUUGGGCCCUCUGGGGACCCAGCUGGUCAGCCCAGUGCCCUCUCUCCAUGGGGUCUUAAUGGAAAGUUUUAUUUUUCUGCAGCGCUUUUGAUGUGUUGAUAUGAAUGAGGAGGCCGCGAGUGUAACUGGGCCAUUAAAAUGGCGGCGCUUCCCCCUGCAGUGCGUGGGAGGAAGUCAGGGGCUUCCUCUUUUCUCAGUUGCCUUCCUGAACCUGGUGGGUGACGGCUGUUCAGCGUUAAAGAGCAGCCGGUCUAAAUUUAGUUCCCCUACUGGAGGCGGAGUGCGGUCGAAUAUGUUCCUCUAUAGCAGAUUAGGAGUGCGGUCGUACUGAAUGUGUUCCUCUAUAGCAGAUUACAGUAAAUCACUUUCAUUUCAUUUACUUGCUGAACAUCGAAUGACGGCCUGUAAUGAAUAGAUCCGGGUUGUGGACAUAUGUAGAGAUCUCCCUUUGACAGUUUUUAUGAUGAAAAUUAUGCGUGUAAUGCGGCAGAAUUAUUGUACCUGCCACAUUUGGUGCAAACAUUUUACGUUGUAAUAUUACCCCCCCGCCUCCCCCCCUGUUUGUACCUUACUGCAUACGGAGCGUUAAUGGUCAUGCGUGUCAUGCAUGUGAUGUCAUAGGCCACUCUGUGGUGUGUGUGAUGUCAUUGGCCGCUCUGUCGUGUGUGAUGUCAUAGGCCACUCUGUGGUGUGUGUGAUGUCAUAGGCCACUCUGUGGUGUGUGUGAUGUCAUAGGCCACUCUGUGGUGUGUGUGAUGUCAUUGGCCGCUCUGUCAUGCAUGAUGUCAUAGGCCGCUCUGUCGUGUGUGAUGUCAUAGGCCACUCUGUGGUGUGUGAUGUCAUAGGCCGCUCUGUCGUGUGUGAUGUCAUGGGCCACUCUGUGGUGUGUGAUGUCAUAGGCCACUCUGUGGUGUGUGAUGUCAUAGCCACACCUGUGGUGUGUGAUGUCAUAGGCCACUCUCGUGUUUGAUGUCAUAGGCCACUCUGUGGUGUGUGAUGUCAUAGGCCACUCUCGUGUUUGAUGGUACAGCAGUGUUUGGGUGGGUCUGCCUUUGAUAAGGAGUCUUGAGUUGGGAGGGAUGAGGUGGGAAAUGGAGGGAGGGACUGUGCCCUUCCUGCCUGCCCCCCCCUCCCCCUCCCCCACACACACACACACAUGCACGCGCAGCACCUUCAGGUGAAAUGAAAGGAAGCAGGACAAUAACUCUCCCUGCCCCUCUGCCCCACCCCCUCCCAUCCCCCCCAAUCUGUACUAUUGCCAAAAUCCUUCGGUGGCCUCCUCCCCAUUCAGAAAUGUGCAUUUAUAUAUUUUUGUAAGCAUGCUAAAGUGAUCUAUUUUUAAUGGGAAGCGUUGUAUGGUACUGUGCGAAACCCAAAAUAAAAUCUAUUUGAACAAA